rnacentral:lncRNA from 1 species
CGACAAGUGAGCCCCAGCCUCGUUGACGGGGAGUAGGGGAGGGGUAGUGCAGAGCCCUCUGCUGGCUUCACCAAAGGUGGAUUUCCCUUUUUAUUAGUAAUUACUACAGCAGAAGAGGCUUAAAUUGUAGCGCUUAUUCCUUUUUUGGUUAACAGGCUCCUUUAGAUAACUGAACACUGUGGACUCACAAGAAAAACGUACAUGUACACAUGUAGAUAACCCUUUACAUAUAAUUUCAGGGGAUUAAUGGAAACUCCAGAGAACCAUGGGCAACAGCUUAAGAAUUCCUGGCUGAAUAUUUACUCCUAUAUUUUGAACAAAUAAGAAUGUGCUAUAUAGCAUAUUCUAGUUAUAACAAGGUAGAAAGAUAACAUAAUAAUUUUUUCAACAAAUACAAUCCUGUUAUGCACAUGAGCCUGGUAUGAAAGCAGAAGCCUUCUGCCUUACAAAGAGACUCUUGAGUGCCCACUGUGGGCAGGGCAGGGGGUUCAGUGUAGCUGAGAUGAAAGGCAGAUGUCUUGCUCUUAGCUGUGAGUUAUGAGGAUGACAGACGUGGAAAGAACCAGGAUGUGUAUACUGAGGGAGGACUUAGUACUAUUAAAACCGUGAACUGUUCUUCAAGCCUUACCCUCAGGAGAAGCAAAACCUCGGAAGACACUCAAAGAGAAGGAGGAAAGGAGAACUCCUUCAGACGAUGAAGAGGAUAACUUAUUCGCACCCCCCAAGCUGACCGACGAGGACUUCUCACCAUUUGGCUCUGGAGGCAGCCUGUUCAGUGGGGGCAAGGGGCUCUUUGAUUAUGAGGACGAGGAGGUGAGUCCAUGGCACUCAGCAACACUCCCUGCAGCUAGCUGUGUCAGGGGUCCACAGGGAAGAAAUAGGCUUUGCUUGUUGAGUGGGGAAAAACAGUUUCUCAGUUGGAAGUUGCUUCUAUUUUCAUAUUUUGGGACAUUUUGAACUAAGAAUCACAGAGUGAGAAAUGCCGUAUCCUUCUAUGCUUUGUUAGGUGAGGCGAAGAUGUGCACGUGUUAAUGUGAAUAAUUUACUAGGUGAUUGUUUCUUGCCUUAUCUGUUGUCUUCCAUGUUUGUUUUUAAUUCCUGGACAGGCCUAAAUUAUUUUAGAGUCUGAUUUUGCCAUAGUUAUCACUUUGCAACUGAUUUUCUGGCAGAGUAGUAAAUAUGUAGCUUUAAAUCUUGUAGGUUAUUUUUCCUUAGGAAUCCUCAAAUGCAGCUAUGCUUUCUCCUGGUUUUUUGAAUUCUUUGUCAUAUACCUUAUUUCAACCAGAGUGACCUCUUCACGGAAGCCCCCCAGGAUCGGCAAGCUGGAGCCUCUGUUAAGGAGGGUGAGCUGGGGCUGGGCAGCUGCGUCUCGGUGUGCAGAGUUCCAAAACUGUCUUCCUCACUAGGAGAUGGAACCCUGAGGUUGUUCCCAAGCCUUGUUUCUGUGUUAAGCAGGAAGCUGUUGUUUUUACUGUGGUCCAGAUGAAAGUAAUUCAUCUUCACUAAUUCAUGUCUUGGAAAACACAGUACCACCUGUAAACCUAUAC